CCCCCUCCUUGCCCCUCCCCUUCAUUGCUGUGAUGUCAGUGGGGUAACAGCAGUUCUCAGGGUAACUGUCCCAACCCCAAACCAUCCUAGACUCCUCUCUGAUCAGCUGUGAAGAUGGUGCCUUGUGGCCUUGUUCCCAUCUGGGAUGGAUCGUUCUACAAUGCUGUAUGUCCCAUUGGGCCAAAAGUACUGGUUUGGUGCUGAAAUCCAACUCCAUUCCUCACCAGCUGUAUUCCCAAGGAAUCCUCCUUCCCCAUCCUCCCCAAGCUCUCAACUUCUAUCUCCAACUGAUGUGCAGAAAUCAAACUCUAUAACCACAGAGUAGUUAUAAAGCAGGUAUGUUUAAUCAGCGCUGCACACACGCUGGAUGCAGAGGGGGUAUUCCCACCUAGCCUGCAUACCGGAGGGCAAGAAAGGCACAUACUUAAAGAACAAGCUGCUUACAUAUGCAUUAGGAUAAGGGGGUAUAUGUGGAGUCAUUCAUGCAUCUACUUACAAGUUGGGUCAUCCCAUUAUGUGCUCCAAAUACAAGGUUGAAUUUUGGUCCUAAAAUAAUAGUGCUGUUAGCAGCAGCUUCCUCACCUGCCCCUAAGCAAAUGGGCUCCCUCUGACCGCUUUUAUAUUUGUGCUGAGCAGGUCAAUUUAGUGACAGGACCCCAAAGCAUGGUACGUCCAUCCCUGCCUUUGGUAGUCAUGUGCAGAUCCAGCAAUCAGAGAAGUUCGAAGUCUUAGCACAGUUACUAAUUACACUGUAAAAGGAGCUCUCUUCCCAGGCCAGAACACCUCCCGCGUACAUUGAGAUAAAGCAAAUUAGUAACCAGCUCAUCUUGUCUUGAUGAGUUUAACUUUUGACGGUGCACUUUCCUUGGCAGACCAAGUAGUUCCCCGGCAUCUUGGAAUAACCUCCUGCAACAAUACUUACCUCACAUGCCUUAUUAGUCCUACAAGGGAAUGCCUCCAGCCACCCUAAAAAGCUAUCAGGACCAACAUACAGCAAUAUACCCCCCCGCCCCCCCGCCUUUUCUUGGGAGUUCUGAGAAAUCAAUUUGCCAUUGUUGCCCUGGCAGGUUCCCUUUCCCAGUAGGCCCACUUGUACCCUGUUCCUGGUACUAGGAUUGUACUUUGUAGUCUCCGUUCCCGCAGUAUGUUUUCUUAUCUUCCCUUAGAACCAAUUUCCAUACAAUACUAACGGGCACAACAGUGUGUCCAUCUGGGCGUGAACCCAUCUGUCAGCUUGCUCUCUUCCCUUCUAAAUCACUAAUUAGAUUCCUAUCCUCUGUAGGAUAUUUUACAGGUUCUGACUCAGGUUCAGAGAUUUUAAGUUUACCGUCUGGAAUUAAAGCCUUCUUCAACUGCCUGUUCUGCCACCUGAUCCGCCAUCUUAUCUCCAGUUUCCUGUACAGUGCUACCUUUCUGAUGUCCUUUACAGAGUAUAAUAGCCAUGCUCUUUGGUAAAGAGACAGACAUAUCACAUCUCAGAAAUGGCUUUACUUCAGUGGCCUUAAAUGGUCCCUCUGUGAUCAUUAUUUUCUUAUUGAAUCGCUGUCAGACACAGCUGGUGGAUUUUUGUACAGGCAAUUUGGAGUUCCUAGCUAAAAUGAACCACAUGAAUACAGAUUACGGAUAUUCUUAUCUCAGCACACUUUUGAGAUGGAGCAUUCAAAUUACAAGACCUUCAGUCUGCUGUUUUAAUCUGACCCAGAAGGAAAACUUCACUACAGUUUGUUUCCUUGAUUCCCGUGCAAUUUUAUUUUGGAACUGAAGCUCAAUCGAAUUUAAACAACUUUUUUGAAAGUCUGUAAUGAAAGUUGCAUUUUUGCUUACACGUAGCCGCUUUGACCCACAGUGAAUGGAAGUCAUAAAGCAGAGUAUAAAGGGAGUUUCUAAAUUGCCUGUUGUUGAGUCCAUUGAAGGCAACAGGAGAGUCCAGAAUGUGACCUUUGAGAGCAAAUUUGCCUCUGCUUGUUACUGAAUUUUGUGUUGCGUUUUUCUGUAUAUAUAUUUCUUUUGACUCAGAAAUACAAAUUAUAAUGAAGGUGAGGCACUUCACAAUA